rnacentral:rRNA from 1 species
GUCCUGGCAGUAAACGGUGCACGCUUGGUGUGGGAGGAAUCGACCCUUCCGUGCCGGAGCUAACGCGUUAAGCGUGCCGCCUGGGAAGUACGGUCGCAAGACUAAACUCAAGAAUUGACGGGACCCGCACAAGCGGUGGAGUAUGUGGCUUAAUUCGAUGCAACGCGAAGAACCUUACCUGGGCUUGACAUGCAUCUCUAAGCGCGUGAAAGCGCGUGACUGGAGCAAUCCAGAAUUUGCACAGGUGCUGCAUGGCUGUCGU